rnacentral:rRNA from 1 species
UCUCUCUGAAUCUGCGAACGGCUCCGCAAACCAGUUGUAAGCUACGGCAAGCCCGUCGGUCAGCGCUUCACGGCGCGGGCUGACGAUAGGGAUAACCCUGGUAAUUCUGAGGCUAAUACCUGCACGUAAAAAGCUGUUCGAGCCCUCGGGCUUGGGUGGCGGGCGUGUGAACUAUUCGCAACUUUUUGCCGGGACGGGACGCACGUCAUGACCGCGCUAAAGACAGCGGUGCGCUUCGGCGCGCCCCUGAGCGGCUCUUGCAAAGCGCUUCUGACCUAUCAACUAGACGGCAGGGUAAGGGCCAUGCUGUGGUGACAACGGGUACAGAGGAUCAGGGUUCGAUCCUGGAGAGUGGGCCUGAGAGAUU